GAUGAACGCUAGCGGCAGGCUUAAUACAUGCAAGUCGUGGGGCAGCAUGAGUAGCAAUACUUGAUGGCGACCGGCAAACGGGUGAGGAACACGUACACAACCUUCCUUCAAGCGGGGAAUAGCCCAGAGAAAUUUGGAUUAAUACCCCAUAAUAUAUUUGAUAAGGCAUCUUAUUAAUAUUAAAGCUUCGGCACUUGAUGAUGGGUGUGCGGCUGAUUAGAUAGUUGGCGGGGUAACGGCCCACCAAGUCUACGAUCAGUAGCUGAUGUGAGAGCAUGAUCAGCCACACGGGCACUGAGACACGGGCCCGACUCCUACGGGGA
rnacentral:rRNA from 1 species